CUGCAUGGCGUGUCGUCAGCUCGUGUCGUGAGAUGUUGGGUUAAGUCCGUAACCGAGCGCAACCCUUGUCCUUAGUUACCAGCACGUUAUGGUGGGCACUCUAAGGAGACUGCCGGUGACAAACCGGAGGAAGGUGGGGAUGACGUCAAGUCAUCAUGGCCCUUACGGCCUGGGCUACACACGUACUACAAUGGCCGAUACAAAGGGCAGCGACACUGCGAGGUGAAGCCAAUCCCGUAAAAUCGGUCUCAGUCCGGAUUGGAGUCUGCAACUCGACUCCAUGAAGUUGGAAUCGCUAGUAAUCGUGGAUCAGCAUGCCACGGUGAAUACGUUCCCGGGCCUU
rnacentral:rRNA from 1 species